GACGAACGCUGGCGGCGUGCUUAACACAUGCAAGUCGAGCGGAAAGGCUCCUUCGGGGGUACUCGAGCGGCGAACGGGUGAGUAACACGUGAGUAAUCUGCCCUGCGCUCUGGGAUAGCCACCGGAAACGGUGAUUAAUACCGGAUAUGACCGCUACACGCAUGUGGUGGUGGUGGAAAGUUUUUCGGCGCAGGAUGUGCUCGCGGCCUAUCAGCUUGUUGGUGAGGUAAUGGCUCACCAAGGCUUUGACGGGUAGCCGGCCUGAGAGGGUGACCGGUCACACUGGGGCUGAGACACGGCCCAGACUCCUACGGGAGGCAGCAGUGGGGAAUAUUGGACAAUGGGCGGAAGCCUGAUCCAGCAACGCCGCGUGAGGGAUGACGGCCUUCGGGUUGUAAACCUCUUUCAGUACCGACGAAGCGAAAGUGCCGGUAGGUACAGAAGAAGGACCGGCCAACUACGUGCCAGCAGCCGCGGUAAUAC
rnacentral:rRNA from 1 species